rnacentral:rRNA from 1 species
GACGAACGCUGGCGGCGUGCUUAACACAUGCAAGUCGAACGGAAAGGCCCUGCUUGCAGGGUACUCGAGUGGAGAACGGGUGAGUAACACGUGGGUGAUCUGCCCUGCACUUCGGGAUAAGCCUGGGAAACUGGGUCUAAUACCGGAUAGGAGCCAUUUUUAGUGUGAUGGUUGGAAAGUUUUUUCGGUGUAGGAUGAGCUCGCGGCCUAUCAGCUUGUUGGUGGGGUAAUGGCCUACCAAGGCGGCGACGGGUAGCCGGCCUGAGAGGGUGGACGGCCACAUUGGGACUGAGAUACGGCCCAGACUCCUACGGGAGGCAGCAGUGGGGAAUAUUGCACAAUGGGCGCAAGCCUGAUGCAGCGACGCCGCGUGGGGGAUGACGGCCUUCGGGUUGUAAACUCCUUUCGCUAGGGACGAAGCUUUUUGUGACGGUACCUAGAUAAGAAGCACCGGCUAACUACGUG